rnacentral:rRNA from 1 species
GACGUAGGAUGCAAGCGUUGUCCGGAAUUAUUGGGCGUAAAGAGUUCGUAGGCGGCAUAUCAAGUCUGGUGUUAAAGACUGGGGCUCAACCCCAGAAGGGCACUGGAUACUGAUAAGCUAGAGUACAGAAGAGGCAAGGGGAAUUCCCAGUGUAGCGGUGAAAUGCGUAGAUAUUGGGAGGAACACCAGUGGCGUAAGCGCCUUGCUGGGCUGUUACUGACGCUGAGGAACGAAAGCCAGGGGAGCAAAUGGG